AUUUUUUUAAAAAAAGUUUUUGGUCUCUUUCUCCCCCAACUUCUCCUAACAAAACACAUCUUGAGAAAACUAUUCAGCUGCAAAUGUUGGCUGACUUAUACAUAAAAGGAAAGUGUGAUGUUGACACUCUUCAGAGAGUCUGAAUGGACCUGUGUCUAUGGUGGAAAUGAAGCCAUGUAACUCCUGGAUCGAGAUCACAAAUAGUGAUAGAGCUUCUGCCAGUUCUUCUUGGGAAGCAUAUUCUUAGAACCCACUCAUUAUGUUCUAAAGAGACAGAGAAACCACAAAAGUUUAUUAGUAAGAAUUUUGUCAGAAAGCCCCAAAUAAACCCAUAGCUGAGGCCCCAGUCAGGGGCAACAACCUCCAGACAUGUCAAUGAAUGGGCAUUUUGAUGGAUUUUGCGCUCCAGCUAUCCAGCCACUUCCAGUCCUCAAAUCUUCUCAGCUGAGACCUCAAACAUCAUAAAGAAGAUACAAGCUGUUCCCACUGUGUGCCCUGGUUGAAUACCUGACCCACAGAAACCAUGAGAGACACUGUUCUCAGUGAAUAUAACAAAGAUGCCUGCCUUCCUGGAGCUUCCAUCCUGAUGGGAGGAGCUAGACCAUAAACAAAGAAGCACAGAGGUA